ACCAGAGUCUCUGUGCAUUCUCCCGCGACUACAGGCUCACUGGUUCUGGAGUGUUUAGAAAAGAGGCAGCCGUUCCCUUGUCACGGGAGCCCCGGUCCUUUGGGUCCCCUGAAGGAAUCUUUCUUCUCCUGCCUUGACUCAGAAGGCGCCGGCGUUUCCUGAGCAGCAGUGAGGAAGGUCGUGCUGUCAUCGUCCAGAGGAUGCCACAGCAGCCCUGGAACACACGUGUUUGGUGGGACCCAGCCCUGGCACCGAGUCUGUGCUGCUGUGAGGUCUGUGUGCCAGAGUCUCCCUGCUUUCUCCCCCAACUGCAGACUCACCUCAUGCCGGAGUGUUUAGAAAAGAGGCAGCUGUUU